rnacentral:rRNA from 1 species
GACGAACGCUGGCGGCGUGCUUAACGCAUGCAAGUCGAACGGAAAGGCCCUGCUUUUGUGUGGUGCUCGAGUGGCGAACGGGUGAGUAACCCGUGAGUAACCUUCCCUUGACUUUGGGAUAACUUCAGGAAACUGGGGCUACUACCGGCUAGGAGCUCCUGCUGCAUGGUGGUGGUUGGACCGCAUCGGCGGAUGGGGAUGGACGGGCGGCUUACCGGCUUGUUGGUUGGGUAGUUGCAUACCCAGCCAUUGAUGGGUAGCCGGCCUGAGAGGGUAAACGGGGUCAAGGGGACUGAGAGACGGCCCAGACGGCAACGGGAGGCAGCGGGCGAGAGUAUGGCACAAUGGGCGGAAGUGUGAGGCGACAAUCUCGCGUGCGGGAAGACGGCCUUCGGGGGGGAAACCGCUGUCGCCUGAGACGAAGCGGGAGUGACGGUAAUGGGUGAAGAAGCACCGGCUAACUACGUG